rnacentral:rRNA from 1 species
AACGAACGCUGGCGGCAUGCCUAACACAUGCAAGUCGAACGAGACCUUCGGGCUUAGUGGCGCACGGGUGCGUAACGCGUGGGAACCUGCCCUUAGGUUCGGAAUAACUCCCCGAAAGGGGUGCUAAUACCGGAUAAUGUCUUCGGACCAAAGAUUUAUCGCCUUUGGAUGGGCCCGCGUUGGAUUAGCUAGUUGGUAGGGUAAAAGCCUACCAAGGCGACGAUCCAUAGCUGGUCUGAGAGGAUGAUCAGCCACACUGGGACUGAGACACGGCCCAGACUCCUACGGGAGGCAGCAGUGGGGAAUAUUGGACAAUGGGCGAAAGCCUGAUCCAGCAAUGCCGCGUGAGUGAUGAAGGCCUUAGGGUUGUAAAGCUCUUUUACCCGGGAUGAUAAUGACAGUACCGGGAGAAUAAGCUCCGGCUAACUCCGUG